rnacentral:rRNA from 1 species
AGUGAACGCUGGCGGUAGGCCUAACACAUGCAAGUCGAACGGCAGCACAGUCAGAGCUUGCUCUUACGGGUGGCGAGUGGCGGACGGGUGAGGAAUACAUCGGAAUCUACUUUUUCGUGGGGGAUAACGUAGGGAAACUUACGCUAAUACCGCAUACGACCUACGGGUGAAAGCAGGGGAUCUUCGGACCUUGCUCGAUUUAAUGAGCCGAUGUCGGAUUAGCUAGUUGGCGGGGUAAAGGCCCACCAAGGCGACGAUCCGUAGCUGGUCUGAGAGGAUGAUCAGCCACACGGGAAGUGAGAAACGGUACAGAGAACUACGGGAGGCAGCAGUGGGGAAUAGGGGACAAUGGGCGCAAGCAUGAUCCAGCCAGACCGCGUGGGUGAAGAAGGCCUUCGGGUUGUAAAGCACUUUUGUUGGGAAAGAAAAGCAGCAGGUUAAUACAACGCUGUUGUGACGGUACCCAAAGAAUAAGCACCGGCUAACUUCGUG